CACGUAGUUAGCCGGGGCUUCUUAGUCAGGUACCGUCAUUUUCUUCCCUGCUGAUAGAGCUUUGCAUACCGAAAUACUUCAUCGCUCACGCGGCGUCGCUGCAUCAGGGUUCCCCCCAUUGUGCAAUAUCCCCCACUGCUGCCUCCCGUAGGAGUUUGGGCCGUGUCUCAGUCCCAAUGUGGCCGUUCACCCUCUCAGGCCGGCUACUGAUCGUCGCCUUGGUGGCCGUUACCCCCACAACCAGCUAAUCAGACGCGGGUCCAUCUCAUACCACCGGAGUUUUUACCACUGUACCAUGCAGUACUGUGGUCUUAUGCGGUAUUAGCAGUCAUUUCUAACUGUUAUCCCCUGUAUGAGGCAGGUUACCCAGCGUUACUCCACCCGUCCGCCGCUCAGUCAAAUUACUUUCCUCCCGAAAGAAUCAAAGCAAAGUGCUUCGCUCGACUUGCAUGUGUUAGCACGCCGCCAGCGUUCAUCCUGACGCCAGGAUACAAACUCUCG
rnacentral:rRNA from 1 species